GACGAACGCUGGCGGCGUGCCUAAUACAUGCAAGUUGAACGAAGUGGCGGAUGGGCGAGUAACCCGUGAGGAACCUGCCUUUCACUGGGGAAUAACCCUGGGAAACCAGUGCUAAUACCGCAUAGUGAAAGAGGGCCUCGCGCCUGAUUAGCUCGUGGGUGAGGUAACGGCUCACGUAGGUGCUGAUCAGUAGCCGAACUGAAGGUUGAACGGCCGCAUUGGGACUGAGACACGGCACAGGCUCCUACGGGAGGCAGCAGUGGGGAAUAUUGGGCAAUGGCGCAAGCCUGACCCAGGAACGCCGCGUGAAGGAAGACGGUCUUCGGAUUGUAAACUUCUUUAGACAGGGACGCGGUACCUGUAGAAUAAGCCACGGCUAACUACGUGCCAGCAGCCGCGGUAAUUC
rnacentral:rRNA from 1 species